UGUUCAGAAUACAAAACACAACUUGUAAAUAACAGACUUAAAAAAUUAUUUGACUCAUUUUUGAUCUGGUGAUGCUUUUAUUUUGGUAAAUAGUUACACUAAAUGACUUUAGGACAAUAGAAUCAGUGCAAAUGUACUUAUUUUGAGUUGAUAUCAAAAAAUGAUUUGCCCAGGGCGGAAUUAGAGCUAUGUAGGGGGAGAGUGGACGGCUGUUAUAAAAGAAUCAAAAAUAAUCAAAAAUUUUGAACAGUUUUUUAUUAAUUUUGUUUUAAGGUCGUAAAAAAUGUUGCUUUUAUGCUUAAAGAAGCUUGUAUUGAUGAUUUCUUAAUCUUUGUCAAAAAUCAAACUAAUUUUUGACUCAAAAAUUUUAGGGGGGCACGUGUGGGGCAAAGCCCCCCCUUAGCUCCGCCCCUGGAUUUCUGCAAUUUUUGCCAUUUUUAAAAACUCUUUGACACAAAAUUAUGAUUUAUUUCCUAAGAAAAUCUGUGAAAUGUUUGUUUCUUCUUUUUGGCCUCUCUAGUUGAUCGUCACCACUGUGAAUUACUCCUGCAGAAAUGGGAGAGGCCCCUCUGGACUUAACUGUCUGCAUUUUUCCAGGCUUGGGACAAGCACAUGGAAACACUGGAGAAUGUCCCCAUGUGGUUGCUGUAACAAACAGCAUCCCGUUUUCCUGGGCAGUUUUUCCUCCGAGGACCAACCAGGUUCAACCCUUCUAAAGUGGCUCGGAUAGGCUCCAGCAACCCCAUGACCCCAAAAGGAUGGAUGGAUGGAAGCAAUGGUGCAACAUAAAUCCUGCUUUCUCUUCAUCAUAGGAACCAUAGACUUUUCUUUCAAGAUUGAGGCUGUUUCCCACAGUCCUAAAGACGGACGUUUUGACUCAUUACUGCAAGUGUCUUUCUGUUUAGUCAUAUACAAUCCACUAUAGGCCCAAACAGUGAGACUGCACUGAUUAAAAACUGUUUGUAUUUGUAUUAUUGAGAACUCUGAUUAGGCUUUUAAAUUCUUUACUCAAAAAUAAAGAAUAAUGGUUUACUGUCAGAAAAAAAAUUCUAUUUAUUUCUGUCAUUUGGGUAACCAAGUGCUUGAAAUUCAAAUAUGUAAACAUUGUAAAUAGUUUGGACCCAAUCUAAUCAACCAAGCUUUACAAAUAAUUUAUUGUCAUGCUGUAUGAAUAUCAAUAAUUUACACUAAGUAAAGGAAGUCUGGUUUAUUAUUGAUGGUAACAUAUUCAAUGGAUGACAUCAGACUAAUUGAUACUGUAAAAAAAAAAAA